rnacentral:lncRNA from 1 species
AUGGAGCCUUGGAUUUCCUGCCAGGGAAUGGGCAGUCAGCCAUUGGAGCUGCAGGGCUGCCUGGAAGCAUGGCUCAUCCGAGCACUGCAGGUUGGAGCAUGUGGGCCAGAUGCAGCUUUUCCAUCACACCUGCCUCCAGGAAGAGCUCUCCCUGCUGAGCUGUGACAAACCCAGCAGCAGCUUAGUGUUGGUGGGGGCAGUCGGCCCCUUAGUGUGUGGUUCUGUGUGUACUGAUGGUUAAAUAAAACAUCUCUGCACAGAGCA